rnacentral:rRNA from 1 species
GAUGAACGCUGGCGGCGCGCCUAACACAUGCCAGUCGAACGGUUAAAGCACCUUUUAGGUGUGUAUAAAGUGGCGAACGGCUGGGUAACACGUGGGCAACCUGCCCUCCUCUUGGGGAUAGCCUCGGGAAACCGAGGAUAAUACCCGAUACUUCAAUGUGGCCGCAUGACGACAUUGAGAAAGCUUUUGCGGAGAAGGAUGGGCCCGCGGCCUGUUAGCUUGUUGGUGGGGUAGAGGCCUACCAAGGCAAUGAUGGGUAGCUGGGUUGAGAGACCGACCAGCCAGAUUGGGACUGAGACACGGCCCAGACUCCUACGGGAGGCAGCAGUGGGGAAUCUUGCACAAUGGGCGAAAGCCUGAUGCAGCGACGCCGCGGGCGGGACGAAGGCCUUCGGGUUGUAAACCGCUUUCAGCAGGGACGAGGCGAUAAGUGACGGUACCUGCAGAAGAAGCCCCGGCUAACUACGUG